GAUGAACGCUGGCGGCGUGCUUAACACAUGCAAGUCGAACGGGAUCGGCUGGAGCUUGCUCCGGCCGUGAGAGUGGCGAACGGGUGAGUAAUGCGUGACCGACCUGCCCCAUACACCGGAAUAGCUCCUGGAAACGGGUGGUAAUGCCGGAUGCUCCAGUUGACCGCAUGGUCCUCUGGGAAAGCUUUUGCGGUAUGGGAUGGGGUCGCGUCCUAUCAGCUUGAUGGCGGGGUAACGGCCCACCAUGGCUUCGACGGGUAGCCGGCCUGAGAGGGCGACCGGCCACAUUGGGACUGAGAUACGGCCCAGACUCCUACGGGAGGCAGCAGUGGGGAAUAUUGCACAAUGGGCGCAAGCCUGAUGCAGCGACGCCGCGUGCGGGAUGACGGCCUUCGGGUUGUAAACCGCUUUUGACUGGGAGCAAGCCCUUCGGGGUGAGUGUACCUUUCGAAUAAGCACCGGCAA
rnacentral:rRNA from 1 species